GAAUUUUGGACAAUGGGCGAAAGCCUGAUCCAGCAAUGCCGCGUGCAGGAUGAAGGCCUUCGGGUUGUAAACUGCUUUUGUACGGAACGAAAAGCUUUGGGUUAAUACCCUGGAGUCAUGACGGUACCGUUAGACUAAGCACCGGACAACUACGUUGCAGCCUCCGCGGGCAUACGGAGGGUGCAAGCGUUAAUCGGAAUUACUGGGCGUAAAGCGUGCGCAGGCGGUUUUGUAAGACAGAGGUGAAAUCCCCGGGCUCAACCUGGGAACUGCCUUUGUGACUGCAAGGCUAGAGUACGGCAGAGGGGGGUGGAAUUCCGCGUGUAGCAGUGAAAUGCGUAGAUAUGCGGAGGAACACCGAUGGCGAAGGCAACCCCCUGGGCCUGUACUGACGCUCAUGCACGAAAGCGUGGGGAGCAAAC
rnacentral:rRNA from 1 species